AUUGAACGCUGGCGGCAGGCCUAACACAUGCAAGUCGAGCGAGAGGCGGACGGGUGAGUAAUGUAUGGGGACUGCCCGGUGGAGGGGGAUAGAUACUGGAAACGGUGCCUAAUACCGCAUAGUAUCGGAUAACCCAUAUGGGAUUAGCUAGUAGGUGGGGUAAAGGCUCACCUAGGAGACGAUCUCUAGCUGGUCUGAGAGGAUGAUCAGCCCCACUGGGACUGAGACACGGCCCAGACUCCUACGGAGGCAGCAGUGGGGAAUAUUGCACAAUGGGCGCAAGCCUGAUGCAGCCAUGCCGCGUGUAUGAAGAAGGCCUUAGGGUUGUAAAGUACUUUCAGCGGGGAGGCGUUACCCGCAGAAGAAGCACCGGCUAACUCCGUGCCAGCAGCCGCGGUAAUAC
rnacentral:rRNA from 1 species